rnacentral:rRNA from 1 species
UGGGGAAUAUUGCACAAUGGGCGGAAGCCUGAUGCAGCAACGCCGCGUGAGGGAUGACGGCCUUCGGGUUGUAAACCUCUUUUAGCAGGGAAGAAGCGAGAGUGACGGUACCUGCAGAAAAAGCGCCGGCUAACUACGUGCCAGCAGCCGCGGUAAUACGUAGGGCGCAAGCGUUAUCCGGAAUUAUUGGGCGUAAAGAGCUCGUAGGCGGUUUGUCGCGUCUGCUGUGAAAUCCCGAGGCUCAACCUCGGGCCUGCAGUGGGUACGGGCAGACUAGAGUGCGGUAGGGGAGAUUGGAAUUCCUGGUGUAGCGGUGGAAUGCGCAGAUAUCAGGAGGAACACCGAUGGCGAAGGCAGAUCUNUGGGCCGUAACUGACGCUGAGGAGCGAAAGGGUGGGGAGCAAACAGGCUUAGAUACCCUGGUAGUCCACCCCGUAAACGUUGGGAACUAGUUGUGGGGACCAUUCCACGGUUUUCCGUGACGCAGCUAACGCAUUAAGUUCCCCGCCUGGGGAGUACGGCCGCAAGG